rnacentral:lncRNA from 1 species
UUAUCAUGUUAUUGUAUAUGUGAGUGUAUAAUGUGAAGGAUUUACAUGUGACUCAAUGAUAGAAUGAUGAACAUGUAUUCAAUGUAUUUGUGUUAGUAUUGAAAGGCUAUUUCUCAAUGUGACAGUCAUGAAUGAUAAUGAUGAAUGUGAAGGGUUUCUAUAAUGUGAAUGUUGAAUCUAGAAUUGGUAGGCUUAGGCAUCCUCUUCUUGAAUAAUGAAUGUAUCUUGACUUAAUGUCUUAAUGAUCAUGAAUUUCUAGACCUAAUGUUGGUAGCCCUUUCAUAAUUGACUAAUGAAUGUGUUAAUGUCUUGAAUUGGUAGACCUAAUGUAGGUAGCCUCUUAAUAAAUGAAUGAAUGAAUGUCUUGAUUGGUAUACCUAAUGUUGGUAGCCUUUCUAUAAAUGACUAAUGAGGUAUUUUCGACUAUGACUUGAAUCGGUAGACCUAAAGUUGGUGGCCCUUCAUAG